CCUGGCAUUGGCCCCUCUUGGAAGCCAGGAUACUGGGCUAGAUGGACCUUUGGUCUGACCCAGUAUGGCCAUUCAUAUGUAUGUAAGGGACUGCGUGGGCAAGGGCUGUUCUAUGUGAUAUCCUAGACUUUUUUUCAGCUCUGGACAUGUUCAUUGGGAGGUAAAAACAAGAGCUCCUUAGCAUUUAGAUUUAUGCCACUUCAAUCACCAGGGACCUUACUAAAUGGGCUAUCUAUCCGUAAUUCAUACAGUGGGUAUGCAGAGGCCUCUUAAAAUCUUAUUUUUGACUUCAGCUGUCUUAGGUUGCUGAUCUAACCGUUAACUACAGUCUCUUUAGGGGUGGGGUUUUGUUCUCCCCAGCAGUCUAUCCCAGCUCAACACUGCUUUGCUUUCUUCAUCCACUUUGCCGGAGAAGACUAGUGUUCUAGUUGACAUGACUCAGGUUCUUUCUACAGUGGAAGCUGUACUGUGCAAGAUACAGGUGAGUUAAAAGCAUAGGUGUGACUUGGAAGGUUCUAGCGCUUUGAAAACCACUUUGGACCUGCUGAUAAACCCCUGGUAUUGUAGACUAACGUUUGUUAUAGGGGUUGGUCCAUAGCAUCUUUUGUUCACAACUUAUGGGGUUUUGCUUUUUUCUUACCCAGGAGAAAAAUCCACAUCUCAGCAAAAUAGACCUUCUGGCAAAGGUUUCUUCCAUGUUUUGUUUCACAUUAGAAACUGCAUUUGUCUUUAGUGGUUGUAUGCUUGCUUGGCAGAAGAAUGUUUUGACCAUUAAGUUUAAAGAAUCUAAUGACCACUUUGGAUAAAGGACUCAUUCAGUAUCCCAGCACCUUCAAUUAAAGUGAGAUCUCACAAUACACCAAAACUGACCUGCAGCAAAGUCUGGAAAGACGAGACUUGAUAUGUCCAAGAACUCCCUGAAGUUCCCACGAGACUUCCAGUGCGCUGCAGAAGACUGCCCCAGAAUCCAGGGACUUAGAUCCAGCUUGCUGCAGAGUACACCACGGCUGCUGUUGUUUACUUACAUGCAAAAUUCAGGUUUCUGAAGUUUCUCCUCUACACUUUGAGGACUAGUUGCUUUCUUUUCACACUGUUUGGGAAGAGAGAGUUCCAAACUUCUCCUAAGUUGUCAGGACAAGCUCUGCAGCUUCCCUGGUGCUUCAGCAGUCGGCAAUGAAGAAUGGAAGAUAAACAACUUUCCAGCACAUUCUGCUGCCUGUCACAAAGAGACCGUAACAACCUUUUAUUCUGCUGCU